rnacentral:tRNA from 1 species
AUCGAUGGUAGCUCAGUCGGGGGAGCGCCCGCUUCUCACGCAAGAGAUGCGGGUUCGAAUCCCGUCGCUGACA